CAGCCCGCUCAAUGGAAAUGGCUUCUGAUUUUCAUCGUUUGUCAUAGGAAGCAUGGCCUGCAGGGAAGCGCUUGGCAUGUAAUCACCCAGGAACGGAACAAGAAUAAUGCAAGAAAUGGAAAUAUUCCACAGUAGUAAUCUGCCAGCACAUAGUUCGUGCUUAUGUUAGGAGAUGGUGUGCCAUACGCAAAACAAAACAACGUAGACGAGACGCAUCCUUCGUGAUUAGAAGAUUAAUUAAAAUAUAAGACAGAGCCGCAAUGGUUACUGAUGGGAAGAAUGACUGGGAACCAUAAUGAACAAAGAUCGAUUAGGGUUCCAACCAGAGGGGGGAGGAGUGGGAGAAGGGAGAGCAGGCAUACUGACCUCAGUCGCCUCGGGCACGGCGGCAGUCUCCAUCGCUAGUGGUGGCGGAGGCGGCGAAGCGAGGGUUUGGGGAACGUCGGCCGUGAGUGCACCCGCUUCGCUUCUGCUCAACGACCUGGGCCUAUACGGGCCGGCUGUGAGUGAACGUCGG
rnacentral:lncRNA from 1 species